rnacentral:lncRNA from 1 species
AAAGAUCUCUGUGGAGUCCCUUUCUUCUCUGCAGCAGCAGCAGCAGCUCAGAACUGAACUGAAAUCACUCAGCGGCAGCAGGCAUGCCUGUGCCAUCAGGAUGUCCUUUCAAGGACGCUUGUCCAUGGAGGUCGCAGCGCUCUGGCCAUCACUGAGCGCUGCAACAAGUGAUGCCUGAAAAGUUUUUCAUUCCCACUCAAAGUUUUGCUAACAUCAAAGAAGAGGUUGAUGAGUCAUUUAUUAAUUUCAUAGAUCAUUUAAAGAUUGCCUUGGAGCGACAAAUUGAAAGUCCUGAAGCUUGGUGGGAAGUUUUAACAAAAAUGGCCAUAGCCUAUGCAAACAAUCAAUGCAAGGCAAUCUUGCGGUCCCUGUCCCCCGACUCAGACCCAACCAUUGAGCAGAUGGUAGAAGCCUGCACCAAACACUCCACCACUGGAAAUACUGUAGCGUAGGCAGUUGCAAAAGGAAUGGCCGAUGGCGUGGCGGGAGCCUUUGCACUAGUGGCUGUAAGAGAAGACCAAAAAUGUUUUAACUGUGGGCAACGUGGAUAUUUUUUUAAAGACUGUCCCUGGCUAACACCUUUUGGUGACCAUCCAAAGCACCAUCCGUGGCCUAAACGACGACUGCCUUACCAGCAGAGCCCAGGAAACUCCCAGCAGAGGGUAGAACGGGUCCGCAUGACGACACUAAAUCAGAGGCCGUUUUGCCCCGCUCUGCCCACCAUUGCAGCGCAGAAGGAGAACUACAUGCCAGCUCCAACAGCUCUGAACAUCCCACCCCAUAUCACCCAGAUGCAACAUACAGAGAAGGUCAGAAGACUCAUUCCCAGCAAAAAUGAAAGGUUAUCUACUGCAAUGCCACCCUCACAGUGCUCUGGAUGCUUUUUGCCGUGCCAAGCGCACCUGGAUGAUCAUCCGUCAACCUAAACAGAAUGUUUGGGUAACCCUGGUGAAGACACUUCAACAGGACAGUUUAUGCAUGGCCAUGGGCGAUCUCAGUGAUCCACUCUCCAUAUGCCUGGUGGGGAUUCCAUUAACAGCAAAGGAUUAUCCUUCUGCAGGUAAGGAACCCAAGCCAGUGGACACCUGGGAUGAGUGGACAAGGAUUUUGCUACACCAGAGGAACCCCAGGAAUUGGAUCUAUUGGGGUCCUCCAAGGCCACUUUUUGUAUUCAGUUUUAUUACAGGCAACCACGUCAGGCUCUACCUGAAUCAGAGGUUAUUUGAUCUCUCUGUAAAAAUAUAGUGAACCCAAUCCGAAAGAUUUAUUCCAUCCAUUGGUUGCAAUUACACCAGCCUCAUGCUAUCCUUGUCCACUUCCAGUCCAAGGGUGCUCCCUGAGGAGUUCCUUAUCUGUGGGAAUAGAGCCUGGCCUGGGAUCCCUUCCCAUCUUCAAGGAGGUCCCUGCACCCUUGGCCAGCUUACCACCCUCACCCUGAACAUCACAUUAAUUCAGGAUUGGCAGAGAAAAACCCAAUUGGUCCGCCAAAACGGAUCAUUUGUUGAAUUUGACAAAAAUUGUAACUCCGAAAUUAUUAAUUGGAAUAAAGGAAAGACGGUUACAUUCUUUCUAUUUUUACAGUGAGUGGCCACAGCAAAGGCCCUCAGUGAGUUUACUCAGCUGGGGUGCUGGCUUGGUAAGCAGGCCAAAGCGACAUCGAAAGAACUCAAUGCCCUGUUUGAAGAUGAAGAAACCACCAGGCACGCAACUGUACAGAACUGAGCAGCAAUUGACUUUCUUCUCCUUGCCCAUGGUCAUGGCUGCCAGGAGUUUGAAGGACUGUGUCGCCUCAACUUAACAUCAAACAGCGAGUCUAUCCACAAGAGCAUUCAGUUUCUUAAAGAUGAGGUGAAGGACCUUAAAGGGCAGAAAAAUAAAGACUGGCUGGAAGAACUCUUUGAAGGUUGGGGAUUAAAGGGAUGGGCACCUGCUUUCACUUAGGACAUUUUGUUAAUUUUAUUUUUUUUAUCGUUUUACUCAUGUAAUCUUGUUUAGUUCAAUUGUUUACAAAAAUCUGUGGGAAGAGUUUUUUUAAUAAACAAACGGGAGUUGUGGAGGCAUGGGGCCCAAUGGAGGCUAUUGCCCUUAUGCGGAGGGAAAGUCCUCAAGACAGGAAGUUUACCCCUCUCCCCUAAUGAGGUAACACUUAGGCGACUCCUCUGUGGUUAUGGUAAAGAUAAAAUCUCUCCCACAAUGCUGUUCAGUUGUAUGUAGAUACUUUGUAUCCCAUUGGCCCUCUCCCUUUAUUCCGCCUCUGAAUCCUCAGACCCUUGGCCAUGGUACUCUACCCUGCCCCCUGCUUUCCCCAUAUAAACCCUGCUCCCACAGACCGUUGGAUCUGUCUUUGUCCCUGGAUCCCUUUGUGGAAGAAGAAUAAAGAUUUUUGUGGAAGCACAUAUGGAGGCUCCGGUCUGUUUCUUUAGUGUUACCUGCAGCAGCAGCUCACAACUGAGCUGAAAUCACUCAGCAGAGGCAGAUGUGUCUGUGCCACAGGGAUGUCCUUUCAAGGCUGCUUUUCUGGGGAGGUCAUGGCUCUCUGACCAGCACUGCCUACUGCAACAAACAUUGGCAGAGGAUGGACCUGCAGGUCUCAAUGCUGAUGGCUGUCAGCCAGUGCAGCCCUAGGAUGUAAAAAUCACGAAGAGAAGGAAAAAUAAGCUUAUGUAUGCUGGGAGGAUGACGGGAGAGCAGGACAAAUCUGCCAGCAGGAAUACCCAAGUGGAGGGGAGCAUGAUGAUGAAGAAGUUGAAGAUGGCCAGGUCAAGGAUGUUGGCAGUGAUGGGUUUC